CCUACGGGAGACAGCAGUGGGGAAUAUUGCGCAAUGGGCGAAAGCCUGACGCAGCGACGCCGCGUGAGGGAUGAAGGUCUUCGGAUCGUAAACCUCUGUCAGUAUGGAAGUACGGUCACUGUGCUAAUCAGCUGUGAAUUUACGGUACCUGCAAAGGAAGCACCGGCUAACUCCGUGCCAGCAGCCGCGGUAAUACGGAGGGUGCGAGCGUUAAUCGGAAUUACUGGGCGUAAAGCGCUCGUAGGUGGUAUGUCAAGUCAAGGGUGAAAUCCCCGGGCUCAACGAGUGAACUGCCUUUGAAACUGGAAAACUGGAGUGUGUUUGAGGAUGGUGGAAUUCCAGGUGUAGGAGUGAAAUCCGUAGAUAUCAGGAGGAACAUCAGUGGCGAAGGCGACUAUCUGGCACAUAACUGACGCUGAGGAGCGAAAGCGUGGGUAGCAAACAGGAUUAGAUACCCCAGUAGUC
rnacentral:rRNA from 1 species